AGUAACAGCUUUUGGUUUCCCGACCAGGAACACUUUGGCUCAGUUGCCAUGGGCCAGGAGUCUCACAGAACUACUAAGCAGCUGCUUACCCAAUUUUGGCUGGAGAGAUAAGUACCCUCUGGGGCCACCACAGCUGGCCCCAACCAUGGUCCUGAUUGCCUUGGAAGAACUGCCUUUGGAAUUUCACAUCGGCAUCCAGAUAGAUGGUGUCACAAGAAGGAUCUGAAGUGGAGCUUCUAGUAUCCCCAGGAGCGCGAAGUGAACACGGAAGGUACCUGCAGGAUCCAAUUGUGUCCAUUGAUCUCUCAGAGUGGCUGAGGAUAAUAGGUGUAUGGCUCUGUGUAUCACAUCAAUCACGGGAACCCCUUCAACAUGGAGGUGCUGGUGGAUUCCUGGCCUGAAUAUCAGAUGGUUAUUAUCCGGCCUCAAAAGCAGGAGAUGACUGAUGACAUGGAUUCAUACACAAACGUAUAUCGUAUGUUCUCCAAAGAGCCUCAAAAAUCAGAAGAAGUUUUGAAAAAUUGUGAGAUCGUAAACUGGAAACAGAGACUCCAAAUCCAAGGU
rnacentral:lncRNA from 1 species